GAACUGGGUAUAUACUCCAUAGUUUGUGUUGACUGGAAUGUUACGCAAACGAAAGAUCCGGCGCCUUAGGAUGAGUCUGCGGCCGAUUAGGUAGUUGUUGGGGUAACGGCCCAACAAGCCUGUCAUCGGUACGGGUUGUGGGAGCAAGAGCCCGGAGAUGGAUUCUGAGACACGAAUCCAGGCCCUACGGGGUGCAGCAGGCGCGAAAACUUUACCAUGCUGGCAACCGCGAUAAGGAAACCUCGAGUGCCAGGUUCAAAUCUGGCUGUCGAGAUGCCUAAAAAACUUGCAAAGAAAGGGCCGGGCAAGACCGGUGCCAGCCGCCGCGGUAAUACCGGCGGCUCGAGUGGUGGCCGCUAUUACUGGGUCUAAAGGGUCCGUAGCCGGCCGGAUAAGUCCCUUGAGAAAUCCGCCGGCUUAACUGGCGGGCGUUCAGGGGAUACUGUCUGGCUAGGGACCGGGAGAGGUGAGAGGUACUGCCGGGGUAGGGGUGAAAUCCUGUAAUCCUUGAAGGACCACCAGUGGCGAAGGCGUCUCACCAGAACGGGCCCGACAGUGAGGGACGAAAGCUGGGGGAGCAAACCGGAUUAGAUACCCGGGUAGUCCCAGCCGUAAACGAUGCGCGUUAGGUGUGGCCACGGUGCGACCGUUGUCGGUGCCGUAGGGAAGCCGUGAAGCGCGCCACCUGGGGAGUACGGUCGCAAGGCUGAAACUUAAAGGAAUUGGCGGGGG
rnacentral:rRNA from 1 species